GGUGGCUCAGUGGUAGAGUGCUUGCCUAACAUGCAUGAGGCCCUGGGUUCAAUUCCUCAGCACCA
rnacentral:tRNA from 1 species